AGCGCCUCCCCUACGCGGACAAAGGUGGGCGAGGAGGGCUUCGGCCUGGGCUCCUCGCUGGGCUCCGCGCGGGGGAACGCGGCAGCACAGUGGCCCCAGCAACAAGGUGGGGCGUGUACGCGUCGGGAGUGGAGUGUUGAGGCGAGGAGUCAUGGUGUCUAUGAGGAUAACACAGAAGCCCCGUCAGGGACCCCGAAACAGCUGAUGGCGAUUCUGCUACCUGCUUAGCAGAACCAUUUAAAGAGCAAAUGCAGGGUUGGUGUGGAAGGCUCCAGCACAUUCGAUGGGCUGAUUGAUGUGAAGUGUUUACAGUAGGCCCUGGGAAUGUCGGAAGGACGUGGUAGGUAUAAAUACUACAUACAUAUCCACUUCCUUACUCUCUUUUCUUCUUUCCUUAGUUUUACAAGUAUCUGGAUGAAACAAACUUUAAAAAGUGAGAACAGCUCCUUGGUUUUUUUUUGGCAGGGGGGGACUGUUUCUUAGCCACUAUGAAAUUUUUUUGUAGUAGCUCUUUUUCUUAGCAUUUCCCACCCUCUUCUCUGCUGUGACGGGGGACUGUUUUCAGCCAGAGGUCUUUAAUUGUUUGGGCUUGAGUUACUGAGGGCCCGAGCUAAAAUGCAGUUAUGGUGCUGGAAGGGACACCACGUAGACUCACUAACUGCUGAUCCCUCAGCUUAAUGUGAAUCCUUGCCCUUUACCAUCAGCACAGGGUCUUCUGAUGUCUUACUUCAUUUUAAUGUCUCUGAGAGAGAAGCACAAAAGAGCCCGUUAUUCCUGUUUUAGUGAUGGCGAUAUCCUAGGCUGAGAGAGGUAAGGCGACACAGCUGAUCAGUGACAGUGGGAUUUGCUCGUGGGUCUCUCCGAUUCCCGGGGCUAACUUCGCACCCAGAUGGCGUAUGGGAGUACAGUUUGAGGAGCUCUGGGAAGCUCGCUCUGAAAUCUCUGAUGCCUUAAAUCCUGCCAUUGAUGCAUCAUUGUUUUGAGCUGGUGCUACCUUAAGAAUUCACUGUGAUUUAGUUCAAGACCCUUGUCUCUGGCAAUCCCAGGGUGGCCUAAGAACAAGGUGCUCUGAAAGAGGGUACAAAAAGAAUCGCCAAUCCAGGUACAAAGCCUGCCAGCCUCUCUGUGGCCCUGUCGGGUUCUCUCUGUGCAGCUGCAAGCUGGGAGGAGAGUGACACCGCCACCAAAUGCUCGCCGCCCUGGAGUCCAGACAUCACUCACCUGCCAGCUUACACUGAUAGAAGCUGCGAUAUAGCAGAAAUUGCAAUGGCUUUGAGCCAAGAGGGGCAGUAUUCACAUCCCAGCCAUGAGCCUCAGUUUCCUCAUUUCUAAAAUGGAAGUAAUGAUUUCCCUACUUGCUUCACAGGGUUGUGAGGCCCAGUGAGAAGUCCCACUGCCAAGUGCUGUACAGCAAAAGAUUGUCCAAGUUGGGUUUCUGUCACCUGUAGCUGGAGAUCACUGUGUGGCACAGUUCCUGAGUUGGACUCAGGAGAGGGUCAUUCACACUGACUCAGGAUGACAACAGGAAGCUGUCUGGUUCAUUUACCAGGAGAAAGUCAGCUGCUCACUGACUCAGGCAUGAUUGCUUGUGCCCCUUUCCCUGGAGAAAAACCACCUGGGAACCUGCUUGAUAAACAGGCCCCAGUGCUAGCAGCGGUUUAAAAAAAUCUUUUUAAUUGAAAUAUAGUUGAAAUACAAUAUUAUGUUGGUUUCAGGUGCACUAUGUGGUGAUACGACAGUUAUUUACAUUGCUAAAUGCUCACCAUGGUAAGUGUAGUUACCAUCUAUCAACACACAGAUUUUACAAUACUAUUGACUAUCUUUCCUAUGCUGUACUUUCAUUCCCAUGACUGGUUUAUUUUAUAAUUGGAAUUUUGUACCCCUUUAUCCCCUUCCCUGUUUUUUAUGUCUCCCUACCCUCCUCCCCUGUGGCAACACCAGUCUGUUCUCUGUGUUUAUGAGUCUGUUUCUGCCAGCAGGGAUCUUCAUGGCUGGUGACAUCAAGCUAGGAUUGCCCAGGCAAUUGACCACCCUCUUCAGUCCACACCCUCCUGCAGAUGAAGCUCAGGACCUAUGAGUGGGCUUAAGUGCCUAAUAACACAACCAGCCUGGCUUUCCACACUGCAGGCUCAGACCUGCUUGGUGCGGCUGCUCCUGACACUUCCCAGGGCAGCUGUCCUGCCCCCAGUCCUGUGAGAGGCACAUCGUUUAAGCCCACAAUGGAGGGGCCAAGGUGAGCCUUCUGCCAGAGGCCAGGCAGGGCAUUGGCCCGCUGCGGUCAGUGAUUCGGGGCCUGGCUUGUAAACAGGAGCGGUCUUAAAACACCCAGAGAAAGCUGCUGUUAAUGGUGGACUCUGUGGCUGGAGACUGAGUAGAUCAGGAGCUGAGGUGGCUGCAGGCGGCCAGGUGCCAGUUAAAGUCACAAGGGAGUAGAGACUGUGGUGAGAAAGAAAGGUGGGUGGGAAAAUAUAACAGACUGGGUGCCCUGGAGCCAGACACACAGCUGACUAAGAGGUAAACACAGCAGCUGAAUCCCAGAACUGCCCAGUUGCUGGCCGUUCUUGAGGCUUGGCUAGGGUCUUCACUGUGUCUUCCUAACCUCCCCCACCUUACCUGGGGUAUUCUGGGUGAUCCCACAUUUCUUUGGUAUACUCUCCCAUACCCAAAGCUGUGACUGAAGCAGGUCAUUUCUGCUGCUGGCUGGGUACAUUCCUUGCACAUGACCUUCUGAUUUUAAUCUCAGAUCUUGAAACAUCAGGUGGGGUCUCCUUGCUGUCUUGGUAUCUGUAGGUUGGAAUCUUGCCUCAGCCACUAAAACUCACAGAUGGAUGACCUGGGCCUCACUUUCCUCACCUCUUUAAUAGCCAUCCUGAAGCACACUCCGUUUUUUAGGACAGUGUUGAAUGUUAUCUGAGUCCUAUGCUCCUGAAAGGCAGUGAUGGUUAAGAAAUUCUCCUACUGCUUUAAGUUCUGGGGAAACAGCUAACUGCAAAGGACCACCUUGCUCUAGUAUAUUCUAAGAAAAACUCAUCUCCAUCCUUUCUUACUAUUCCCAUAAGACUUGUGGAUGACUCCCUUGUUUACUUGCCUCUUUAAAACCCCAGGCUUCCUUCCUUUUCUUUGAGAUGUUCCUCCUUCAUGAAUAUUUUCUCUAUUGCA